UACGGGGGGAGCAAGCGUUGUUCGGAUUUACUGGGCGUAAAGGGCGCGUAGGCGGUCGUGACAAGUCACUUGUGAAAUCUCCGGGCUUAACUCGGAACGGUCAAGUGAUACUGUCGGACUAGAGUGCAGAAGGGGCAACUGGAAUUCUCGGUGUAGCGGUGAAAUGCGUAGAUAUCGAGAGGAACACCCUGGCGGCGAAGGCGGGUUGCUGGGCUGACACUGACGCUGAGGCGCGAAAGCCAGGGGAGCGAACGGG
rnacentral:rRNA from 1 species